GAUGAACGCUGGCGGCGUGCCUAAUACAUGCAAGUCGAGCGAACGGACGAGAAGCUUUCUUUUCUGAUGUUAGCGGCUGACGGGUGAGUAACACGUGGAUAACCUACCUAUAAGACUGGGAGAACUUCGGGAAACCGGAGCUAAUACCGGAUAAUAUUUUGAACCGCAUGGUUCAAAAGUGAAAGACGGUCUUGCUGUCACUUAUAGAUGGAUCCGCGCUGCAUUAGCUAGUUGGUAAGGUAACGGCUUACCAAGGCAACGAUGCAUAGCCGACCUGAGAGGGUGAUCGGCCACACUGGAACUGAGACACGGUCCAGACUCCUACGGGAGGCAGCAGUAGGGAAUAUUCCGCAAUGGGCGAAAGCCUGACGGAGCAACGCCGCGUGAGUGAUGAAGGUCUUCGGAUCGUAAAACUCUGUUAUUAGGGAAGAACAUAUGUGUAAGUAACUGUGCACAUCUUGACGGUACCUAAUCAGAAAGCCACGGCUAACUACGUG
rnacentral:rRNA from 1 species